AUGGCUCAGGAUGAACGCUGGCGGCGUGCCUAACACAUGCAAGUCGAACGGACCUUAUAAUGACAGAGACUUCGGUCGACGAAGUUUAAGGUUAGUGGCGGACGGGUGAGUAACGCGUGGAGAACCUGCCCUGUACUGGGGGAUAACAGUGAGAAAUUACUGCUAAUACCGCAUAAGCGCACGGGACCGCAUGGUCCUGAGUGAAAAACUCCGGUGGUACAGGAUGGCUCCGCGUUGGAUUAGCCAGUUGGCGGGGUAACGGCCCACCAAAGCGACGAUCCAUAGCCGGCCUGAGAGGGUGAACGGCCACAUUGGGACUGAGACACGGCCCAGACUCCUACGGGAGGCAGCAGUGGGGAAUAUUGCACAAUGGGGGGAACCCUGAUGCCAGCGACGCCGCGUGAAGGAAGAAGUAUCUCGGUAUGUAAACUUCUAUCAGCAGGGAAGAAAAUGACGGUACCUGACUAAGAAGCCCCGGCUAACUACGUGCCAGCCGCAGC
rnacentral:rRNA from 1 species